rnacentral:rRNA from 1 species
AGUGAACGCUGGCGGUAGGCCUAACACAUGCAAGUCGAACGGCAGCACAGUAAGAGCUUGCUCUUACGGGUGGCGAGUGGCGGACGGGUGAGGAAUACAUCGGAAUCUACUUUUUUGUGGGGGAUAACGUAGGGAAACUUACGCUAAUACCGCAUACGACCUACGGGUGAAAGCAGGGGAUCUUCGGACCUUGCGCGAUUGAAUGAGCCGAUGUCGGAUUAGCUAGUUGGCGGGGUAAAGGCCCACCAAGGCGACGAUCCGUAGCUGGUCUGAGAGGAUGAUCAGCCACACUGGAACUGAGACACGGUCCAGACUCCUACGGGAGGCAGCAGUGGGGAAUAUUGGACAAUGGGCGCAAGCCUGAUCCAGCCAUACCGCGUGGGUGAAGAAGGCCUUCGGGCUGUAAAGCCCUUUUGUUGGGAAAGAAAAGCAGCAGGUUAAUACCCCGCUGUUCUGACGGUACCCAAAGAAUAAGCACCGGCUAACUUCGUG